rnacentral:lncRNA from 1 species
CAUUAAGAGGUCAUGCAAACUCCCAAGCUAAACAAGGCAUUCUUACAUAUUUAACAUUCAAAUGCAGAAGCCGAGCUAAGCCAUGGAAGAUUGUAAUCAGAAAAAGCUACACUUCCUGAUCCACACAAAACCUGCAGGUUCUUUAAACAGGAGACAGAUUGCUAACAUUUGGGGCUGAAAUCCGGAGGUUAUUUUGGAAUGGGAAAACUACUUGCUGCUUGGAUCCAUGACAACCAUGUAGAUACUAGUCACUCGAUUUAACAAUCUACACCACCAUGGUAAGCCAUAUUCCAAAGACUGGGUCUCAGGUCACUGGUAGUUGUGUUCUGCAAUAAGUUGGAGUGACUGGGUAUA